CUGCGGCGGAGGGGUCCGCAGGCGCGGAGGAGUGAAGCGACGCGGGGCGCUGUGCGCGAGGGAGGGGUGAGCGGGAAAACGCGGCGCGGAGCCGGGAACUGCUCCCCCGCCCCCUCCAGCGGGGGGAGCGGCGCUGAGGGGCGGUUGCUGCCUCUCCCCGCGGAGGCAGAUGGGAGUGGGGGCAGCGGCAGGCGAAGUUUGGGGAAAAGUUUUCCCCCGCCUCGAGGUGGAGGGCCUGGGGUCGCUGUUCGGCCCCGCCUGACGGGACGCGGCCCGUGGCGGCAGAUAAGUCCUGAUGCAUUCUGGAAGAAGCGUGUGCUUCAGCACUGAUUAAAGUCAUGUAUGAGUUAAUGAGAAGCUUGCAGAGUAUGUGAAGCAAGAGAAAAUCUUUAACCAGCUCUGCUGUUCCCUCUACAUAGCACAAACUUGUAAGCUGUAACCAGAAGGUGGAUUGAAUGUGUGAAAUGCUGCAGUAGGAGACUCUUGUAAUUGCAUCACAGGUGGAUGCUCACUCAAUUAAUGUGUUAUCAUUUUCACAAUACCUAAAAGUUGAGGAUAUUGCUGUAAGAUGUCAUAUUUCAAAAUACAUCUAAAUCCUUGGAUGAAGGAUGCUACAAACCCACAAAGUAGUAUUUUCUGGCUUGGUUUUUCAUUUUAAACAAUGCCUUUGUUUGUUGGGAUGUUGUUCUGUUGCUUUUUUAUUUCCAUGCUAACUGCUUCCUGGAUUAAUAAAUUGGUAAUACAUAAGAGACUGUCAGGUGGUGGAGGAACAUAGUGGUAAUAUCAACAUUCUAGUUGUGGGACUUCUAAUUUAAGAAACACAUUGCCAGAAGAAAUAAGAUCAAGGCUGAAUCUUGCUUGCAUUUAAGUCCAAAUGUAAGAUCUCCUUUCUAAGCAGUCCCCAGUGAACACUGAGGGUAAUUAAGUAAAAAUAAAACCUUUCACUUCAGCCCUCUCCAUCGUUUUUAACAUAAACAAGAAAAUGCAACACUGUUUUCAUUAUGUGUUCUGAUAUUUCUUAAUUUUGUACUGCAUCUUAAAUCCUCAAGUGGCUUAUAAUUUCUGUGAUUUGGGGAUAUUUCUAGACCAUACUUUUAAGGAAAUCAUCUCACUGUGUCCCAAAAGGAGCCGUUGAGCAGUCAUUCUCUCUUUUUAAAAAAAAAAAAAAGACUGAAUUUUACAGCUUUGUCUUUCCACCCUUCCGCCCCCUUUUUCUUCCCCCCAAUGGAACUUUCAUAUUUAAUUGUUGAAUUCUUCUUUCCUUAAAUUAAGUUAAAUAUUUACUGGUAUCAGUUGGAUUUUUUUAAUCUUUUUUUUUUUUUUAAGAACAGAGCCUUGUUACUAAGACAAUCGCUUCAUGCUGUAUGGAGGAUAUGACAUAGAAAUGGACUGAAGGAGAGUUGUUUUGUGCUGGGAAAGUCAGUGCUGUUUUUGGGAAAAAUAUUAUAGGAAAUGGAAAUUAAAAAUACAUUUUAUGCUGGUGGGAACUUUGUAAUGAGGCUAAGAGAGGAUCUGAGGUCUCAGAAAAGCAAUUAUUACAAGGGAAAAAGCAGGACUUUAUCAUCCAUUUGUAAAAGUUCUCCAGCCGAAUAUCCUUUUGGGGAACUGAAAUUUGGCUCAAGUCUGUUUAUGAACAUCUGUUGAAUGGAAUUUUAAAAAGGCCCAGAUUAUAAUCUUAGUUUCUGUUGACUGUUUAAGCUGGAAAUGACAAAAACAAAAUAAAAUGAAAUGGCCUAUUUUUUUUUUUUAAUAACAAGCUGCAUGAAUCCUCCACAGUCUGCUGAUUACCUGGUUGUAUAUGUCUAUUCUGUACAUUUUUCUUUCUGGCUUAUAACAUUCAAACAUAAUAGCCUCCACCCCUGUCUGUAGCUGUUUAAUUCCAUUACUUUCCUAGUGAGCUUUCAAAUUUUGUGGGUUUUUUUUUUUGUCUGCACCAGGAGUCUUUUGGAUAUCAGUGUCUCUGAUAUUUUUGCACAAGGGAUAGAAUGAUAUAUUUGAGGGGAAAUUUUGAGAAAUGUUGGGUGUUCCCAUAGCUGUCGCCAUUUGCUUAGUUUAGCUUCGUGUCCUUCCCACCUGUCUUCAGCUAGGUUUCUGUAAAUGCAAUCACUUUGUGUCCACUGUCUCUGGAUACUACUACUUCAGCAUCUAUUUCUGCAGUGUUUGUGACCUCCUGUUAUUCAGGAAGGUCUUCACUGUAAUUUUCCCUCCUAUUAUUUUGCCUCUUUUGCAGCCUGAUGUUUUUGCUGUUGUUUUAUAUUCCCAGCAAGCAUCUUGUGAAUGCUUCAGCUCAAAAUUUAGGUCAUCUCUGAUAGAAGAAGGAAGAGGAAACCUAAAAAGUAAAAAUAAGAUUUCAAUGUGCUUUAAAAAGUGACAACUCUUUUUUUUUUUUUUUUGAAGGGGGGGGGGGGAGGGAACCACACGAACUCUUCUGUAUUUUGCCUCUGUAUGGACUGAGGAGAAUGGAGGGUGCCUUUGUUUGAUUUCAGGAGGGAAGCUACGUUAUCUUCAUGUGACCAUGGUUUCUUACCCAUGUGCUUUCCUGGCUUUUUCAUUUUCACACCUGCUUUGAGCUUUAAUCACUCAAAUUAUUCAUAGGCUUGCCCUGGAAAAAGGAGAGUGUGACCUCUUCCCAUCUGGAGUAGAUGGAUUUACUAUCAAUAAUUGUAAAUGGACUCGGAUGACUUAAUGGUUUUUAUGCUUAAAAUUUUUAAUUCUGUGAUUUCAUUUCUUUUUAAGGAUUCUACCCAUGUUCUUCCCUGGACUGAUAAAUCUCUAUGAUAUAACUUCAAGUUAUUUCUUGCAAAUUAUAUCUUAACAUUGGGCUCACAACUGCGAAGUGAUGACGAUCCCCUGUGAACUGCUGAGUUGUCAAAGAACGCACAGUUUGCCCAGGACCAGGCCUAUAAGUUGCAGUUGUCUUUCUUUUUUUUCCUGUAAUUGUAUACAAUGUCUUUCAUUACAAAGAACCUGAAGACAAUUUAUGAAAUCAGCAGCCACAGAAGUAAUGCAGUGCCCAUUGGGGGUUAUGUAUUCACAUUGAUUACAAUUUAACAAUCCCUCAGCCUGAGGAUAUUUGAGAGGACUUAGAGCUGACUGCUUUUCAGUCCAUGUGUUGCUAUAAGCAGCAAGCUGGAAUUGAUAGAUAUCUGUUGCUACUGCCAGCAACUCUUGUUUCUCUGUUACUUUAGUAGCUUAAUUUAAAUUAUUAGGAAACUUGUGAAUCUGUUUUGUUUUUCUGCUCUUCUCUAGCACCUAAGCUUCAUCUGGCCUAGAUGUAUAAUAAAUACUUUGGUGAAUGUGGCUUAGUCCAGUUUCCUCCAUUAACUCAACAAAGAUUUCUUUUCUGGAUUGUUUCUCUGUUCAGAAGGAGAGAAGACUUGCAUAGCUGGAGUUCACCUAGACAAAGUGAACUUGGGGCAGAAUAAGAUGCAAAAUGAGAUCAGUUGUGAUUUAGACUCAACAAACUUUGUGUUGUUCUGCUAUGGAAUUGUACUUGAUAAGAGACAACCAGAGAGAGCCACCUGUAACCAAACACAUCUUGACAAUGGAGGGAGCACCUCGAGGUAGUUUCAAUGGGCUCAGCUAUCAGGCAGUGUAUUUAGAUAGUCAUCCCCUAUUUCCUCGAUGCCAUCUUUUGCAUACUGUGCUGCAGUUUUCUCUGUUUUGCUAUUUCUGAUACUCAGAAUGCAAUGAUUUAUUUUAUUUGUUCCACAAGCAGAUGACAGGCAGUUUGCUGUCUUCUCAGUGUACUCCCUUGGUUCCCCGUACAAGUUAUGUUACUUUCUGACACUGGUGCUGUAUUCUCUGCAGCUGCAUGGAAGGGCCAUUUCAGAAAUCAGCAGCUCUCUAGCUUCCUAGGUUUUAGCUGAGUUUAACCUUUGGUGAUCAGUAAACAGACAUGUUAAGAAAAUUUGUGGCCCAGUCAUUCUUCUUUCAGAUUCCAGAGACUUGUCAAGCAAACUCUGCAUCCUUGUCAGUCUACAUGUCAUUGUCCCUCUCGUCUUAUUGCAGUUUCUGUUGGAGAUGAAGACUUGUAAAGAUAUCUUUAGGGUGAUGGGUCUUAGAUGUGGGUACAUGUAGCAAUGUUUUUGGUGCAAAUAAGGAAAGAAAAUGCUCUCCAACUUCUGAAUGUAGAUGCUAUAGUUUCUUCAUUAACACCGGGUCAUUUGUUUCUUCCUCUCUCUGCCUCACAUGUUUGGUAGGUUAUUAAUUGAAAUUAGUUCUGCCAACUUCAUAAAUUAGUAAUGUACUUCAUAGGCCUGUUUCUGGCUAGAACAAAUCUUUCAAGGAAAAAAAGCAACUGCUUUUUUUUUUACUAAUUUCUAACAGCUGUUUGAGAUAUACAUAGGUCUCUUUGAAAGUAAUGCCUCCUUAUUAUUUUGAAGGAAACAACAACAGAUAGGAAGAUCACGAUAACACUAUUUGAUAGAGCAAGAUCUUAGCUGCAAAACGCUGUUUUUCAACAUAGUCACCACCAUUAGCUGUGCAUUUUUGCAAUGAACAAGAGCGUGCGUGCCACACUUGUAAAAGUCUGCACCAAGGGAGACUGACACUGCUGUCACCAGAAACACAGCACCCACCACCUCACUAUGUUCACAUCUACUGCUUGAUCUCAAUAAAUGUUCAACAAAUGUCAAUGAAUGUUGUGCCAUUUUUUUCCACGUGGAGGAAUUCAGUUCCACGCUUUUGCUUCAUACACAUUUGCGUGUCAGACACCCUUCGGUCAGAGUGCCCCUCUGCCGCCAUCCGUCACAUUGCAACAAAACGUAAUGGACUGCUGGUGGGAAGGUUCAACCUUCACAGCUAUGCCACCAACACCUGCCUCUGGUAUUGUGAGCCAAUGUAAUGUAGGAGGCAUUACUUUUGGAGCAGCCGUUGUAAUUGUUUAGCGCUAUUUCAGUUUUCCUGCUAGCCCUUCAACUGAGCUGCAGCUGUGAACUAAGCCCGUUUCUCAAGCACGUGUCUCUUCACUCAUAAGUGUCCUCUACAUUAAGGUGUUGUUUGGUGGCUUCCAUUUAACCACGUUGUCCUGUUAGUGAUAACAUCAUUGUUCUUAUCAAACAAUUGGAAAGACAUUCCCAGUCUUCACUCAGAUCUGCUAUGAUGUGCAGAUAUGUCAUAAUUUACUCAUUAAUUUAUCAGGCUGCAUCCUAGAAAAUGGGACUACCAGAGAGAAAAUUGUCCAGCCACUAUAACUGAUGUGGCUUGGAGUUCAGGUUGUGUACCAAAGGAUGCUAAUGUGCAGACUACAUCUCUUCCUAAUCCUGUAGUAAAGCUGUAGCUAAUUCUGAUGGUUACAGCUCUUCUGAUUAGUUACCACGCUGCUUUUUGUUUGGUCAUUUUUUUCUGAAUGUAAACAAUAGAUCUUUAUUCAAUAUAUGGUUAUUCUUUUUUACUGUCAGCACUUUUAUAAUGUCUCCAUUACUUACUUACUCCAUUUCUGAAAUAUCUGGGAGUUGAGGGUGUUCUCUUUGAUUGAGAGCGUUUGAUGAAUAUAUUUGUAGGCACCUGAGAACUUUGUCCUUGCUUCAUCUACUCGUCCCACGUUUACUUUAAGAUAAAACUACCUUCAAUCCCCUAGUACGAUGGGUCUUUUCUUCGACUAGAUUAGAGCUUCCUGUUGGUGUUUUGUUAUUUCUGAGUAAGGAAAGUCUGAUAUCUUUCAGCUCAGUUGUUGCUUCAUCUCCUCUGCGCUCCCAGGGGGUCUUACAUGCACUUUCAGUUCUGCCUUAUGUUUUUGAUUUUGUGAUGUUCCCUACUAUUUACAUUGCCUCGCAUAUAUCCUCUUCAUACCAUCUGCUACUUUAUGUCUUGCUCAUCUCUGAAAUUUGGUAACUGUGCUGCAUGCAACAGCAUGCUACCUUAUUUUCUUAAAAUUUAAUAAAAAGGUUUUAAAAGAACAAAGCAAAUUAGAAUUCACCAUUUCCAUCUAGACAUCUUAACUGAUAAAGGAACAAUUCAGUGAAGGCCUUCAAAUCCUCAAGAUGAAUCCAUUUGUAACUGAGAUUUUGCAUGUUGUUUAUUCAAAAGACGUAUUAUCCAAUCUACCACAGAGGUUUUACUACUGGCAAAAAUUUAGUUAUUAUAGGAUGCUUCCCUAUAAACUCUUUUCUUUAGAAGUCAGUAAUUUUACUAAGUAGUAUUUACUUUAAGAGUCAGUGUGUGGCUGUGCCUUGUUAGAUAAAAGCUGCAGAACUAAAACUGUUUUACUGAACUUAGCUCCUGACCUACCUACUAAGGCCAUGUCUACAAAGGGAUGAUACAUCAAUCUAGUUCAUUUGAUCUAAUUACAGCUAUUUAGCUAUAUUGAGCACAAGUACAUUCAUCCCACUUUGUUAUGCUGAUUUAAAGUAUUUUCACUGUUAAUUGUGUGCACACUGUUCUUUCUUGUAUCAAUUCACCUCUCAAAAUACUCUGUGCAGUUAUGCCGUGGAGCACUAUUCUGCAACUCAGCUGUAUGUUCUUUUUCACAGCAGGCUAAGAGGGAAUUCUCUGGAAUGUGGGAAUUCUACAGGUCAAACUGACAAUUUGCUAUUGCUUUUUUCUUGGCAUUGAUUUUUGCCUGUGCAGCUUCUUCCUCAAAACACUGCAAGGUUGCAUAAGAAAAAACUAGUAAAUCCAUUAUAAUGCUUAUUCCUCAGAGGCUGUGCAGGUGGAAAGGUUUUGUUCUACAGCUUCAUAAGCAGCAGAAGCUCUAUGUGGUAGAAGAAAUGCAACAAGGGAAACCAUCAGGCAUGAUCAACCUGUUACUUCUGGGCAAUGUUUCUGGAGCAGCUGACACAGUGUGCUGUUUCUGGGUGUAGCCUGUUUGCAUUGCCUGAAUAGCACAGGAGACCAAUGCAGACCAGCAGCAGCAGCCAAACAGCAGGAUGGCAACAUUGCACUCAUGGAAAUCUGUGUGGAUCUCAGCCGCAGAGGUGAAAUGCAAAGCAAGGACUUCCCUUAACAUGCAGAAGCCCAUUGCUGUCUAUGGAAAAGCAUCAUUUCUGAUUACUUGCAACUGAAAACCAGCAGGUCUUAGGGAUGUUGUCAUGGAUUUUUUUAUGCAUAUAGCUGAAGAAGGUGCUGAUCUUCUGCGUCAUAAAGCUUGUGGACAUGAGCAUUUGAUUGCUAACAUUCAGCAUAACAGCGUAGAAGAUUGGUACUUUGUCUCCUCUCAGUUCUCAGGUGAGCUCUCCCCUUCAGUUUUUGUAGGUCUCUUAGCAUUCUUCUUAUUCUUUGUGCUCUUCUCUGUUGGUUUUUAUCAGUUUUUAUAUUUUAUGUGGUGCCUGAAAUUGCCUGAAAUCCUCCAGCUGAGAAUUUCACCAGCCCUGAGCUGAACAAGAUAAUUGUCAUGGGUGUCCUACGUAAAACAACCUUAAUAAAUAUUUCUGUGAUGUAUUAUCUUUAUUGUGGUGACUCAAAUUCAGUUUGUGAUGCAUUACAACCACUGGCUUCUUUAGUGCAGUACUGCUGCCCAGUCUGUUAUUCCUCUUAUCGUGCAUGCUUCUGACUUGAUCCUUGGCUACAGAAAACUGCUGAAAAUGUCAUGUCUGAAGACAAGGAGGAGAAAAAGAGAUGAGGAGCUUUUCCAAAGGCACUGUUCCUUUGAAGUCCAAGUGAGUCAGCCUGCCUAUGGAAGAGGGAUUAUCACUUACUAUUUGUUCUCAAUAAUGGAUGGGAAUUACGAUGUUUUGUCAUUAUUAAGUUCGUAGAAGUCCUACUAUAAGCUGGAGUAGGAAUGUUUGCUUGCAAAUGAGAAAAGAUAGUUACAGUACAUGAAUCUUAGAUUAUACUUCUUGCUACAUUUUUUCACUCUCCUGUUACUCACAAGAUGUGCAGAACAACUUAAUAAAUGUCCCUUUUAAUCAAUAAUAGUUCUGGCUGCCAGAAUUGAGAUGAACUGAAGUUAAAAUUGAAAGACUUUUGAAGAAAGAAGAAAACAACCAGAAAAAUUAUGUAAUUCUGCUUUUGUCCAAAACAUUGAGAACAUAAAGAUGAAAUCCAUGGAUGUGAGGUAUCCUCUUGGUCUUUCAUGUGGUUAUCUGCUUAGAACAUUGCCAGAACCAACCAAAAAAAAAGACAAAGGAUGUGUUUCUGCCUAAUACCCCUUGCAUAUUAUUGUUUAAAGAAACAUGAAGCGGUGGCAGAUGAGGAAGGAAUCUGACAGCAUGGAACACGGUGUGCUUAAAAUCAUGAAAAACAUAUCCACUUGAGAAUAGAAGAUCCCAAAAAGAGCAGCCAAGGUUUGUUUGCAGAAGAGAAGUAUUGCUAAAGCAGGAGUGUUUUUGUCUGGAGAAAUUAAAAGACCUUAGAUUGGAAGAAUUUCAUUAUUCCUGGUUAAGUUCUCUGUGAUAAAAAUUGAAAGUCAUUAGCAAAAAAACAGAAAUAUAGUGGAAACCUUCUGUGGUCUUCUGGAACCUCCUGGGUCUUCUCUUUGGAAAGUUCUCCCCUGAGAAAAGAUCAUUCUUUCAACCAUUCCUUACAGAGCCAGGGGACCAUUAUAGUGCUGAGGUGAGUUUGUGUCUCUGUGUGUGGAAGUCUGACUACACCAAGGGACACUAUUCAGUUCUCCAAGUGCUGUCUGACAGAAUUUGCUGAGCUUGUGUGUAUUCUGUUGCUGGGUCAGUCUGCGUAUUAUUCACUCUGCAUUUCAUGCUGCUUUAUGCUCUUGUGACCCGGAUAAAUUUAACAGGGUACUGAGCAGUAUGUUCAGGUUUCCUGUGUAUGCUUCUUACACUUCUGCCCAUCUUAAUCCAAUUCCUUGCACUGUGAUGUAGUCUAUAAUUACAAACCAAAUAACAAGACCUGCCUUCUCAAAUGCUGUUCCAUUUUGUGACUUUUUUCAGAUUUUUUAUCCUUGCUAUUUGAUACUUGCUUACAUAUUGUA